CCAACGCCUGGCGCUGUCCUUUCAGCCUCUGUCCCUGCUCCUCGUCCCGCCCCCGCCAUGCCACGUGCUGGAGAGUGGGCGGCAGCAGUGCUUCCGGGUGACGGAGAGGUCGGCCCCGGCAAGAUGGCGGCCCCCUGGGAGCUGAGCUGCUGGGGAGGCGGCUGGGGGCUCCCUUCGGUCCACAGCGAGUCCCUGGUGGUGUUGGCUUAUGCCAAGUUCUCUGGCGCACCCUUGAAAGUCAAUGUUAUAGAUAACACCUGGAGAGGUUCCAGAGGUGAUGUACCAAUUUUGACAACUGAAGACAGCAUUGUUUCUCAGCCUGCAAAAAUACUAAACUUUUUAAGAAAACAGAAAUAUAAUGCUGACUGUGAGCUCUCAGCAAAACAAGGGGCAGAUACCCUGGCUUACAUCGCCCUCCUAGAAGAGAAGCUUCUCCCUGCCGUGCUUCACACUUUCUGGGUUGAGAACGACAAUUACUUUACUGUGACAAAACCGUGGUUUGCCUCCCGUAUCCCUUUCCCUCUAAGUUUGAUCCUGCCUGGAAGGAUGUCUAGAGGGGCACUGAACAGGAUUCUCUUGACAAGGGGAGAACCGCCCCUCUACCACCUCCAGGAAGUGGAAGCCCAGAUAUACAGAGAUGCCAAGGAGUGCCUGAACCUCCUGUCAAACAGAUUGGGAACAUCUCAGUUUUUCUUUGGUGACACGCCUUCCACCUUGGACGCCUAUGUGUUUGGCUUCCUUGCACCACUCUAUAAAGUGCGGUUUCCCAAAGUCCACUUGCAGGAGCAUCUGAAGCAGCUUUCCAACCUGUGCCGCCUCUGUGACGACAUCCUCCACAGCUACUUUAGGCGGGGUCCUGGGGGCAUCUCUCCAGCUGGACAAGAAAUGAUAGACGCCAACCUGCAGAAACUCACCCAACUUGUAAAUAAGGAGUCCAACCUAAUUGAAAAGAUGGAUGACAAGCUCCGCCAGAGCCCUCAACUUCUUCCCCGGAAGCUGCCCACCCUCAGGCUGACUCCAGCAGAGGAGGAGAGUAGUUCCCUGCAGCGCCUGUCACCCUGACGGCUGCGGCCUAAGUCUUAAGGUUGUCUGCAGUCGCCGAGUGCUCAGACCGAGUGCACGGAGACCCAAAGAACAGACGCUAUAAUGGGUGUAAGGAAGGCUUUACGGAAAGCAGAAGGAACUAUCUGGAGGCUGGACAGCGCAAAACUGAGGUGUCAUCAGGCUUGGUCUCUGGCUAGUGCCUGUCCUGUCCUCGGCUUACAAGGUGGCCUCGUCUCCCUUCUCUGGAGGGAGGAACGUCUCUCCUUCUCUGGAGGGAGGAACACUGUCUUCACACAGCAGAAGGGACAGGAAAGGCAUAAUGAGACCUCAGCAUGCUGCGUGAUCUCAUAACGCUUCCACAGACUGUGUGUCAUUCACAACCUACGGACUGGAAGGAGACCCAACUUUCAAAGACAGUGCCCAGUGAUUUCAGCAUGAAAGGUGAUCUGUCUGUUUUUCUAGAAUCUCCCAGUCUCUGGAAUGUGCAUUGGCAAUACUUCUAGACCAGAUUUCUGGGGAGCUGGCUCACUUGCCUCAGAGACACAGUUAAAGACACUGAAAUCUCAACAAGCCUCUUGGCUACUUCCCUUCAGCCGCCCAGAUGGCUGCUCUGGAGACAAGCAUGUGUAUGUUAGCCGAGAUGAGCAGGCGUCUGUCCAGGAGGAAGAAGAGGGUUGUCCACGUGACAUAGAGACAAAGAUCUGGAAAGCCCAUGAGGAACUCUGCCCAUGCCAUAAACGGUAGAGCCCAACACUUCCUGGCUUAGUCAACCUUCAUUUCCCCCACAGGGGCACAGUCUGUCCCAGAGAAGUUUGUAGCGAAGUUGUGCAGACAAAUGACGGUAGGAUGGGGUGGAGGUGUGCUUUGUAAAGUGGAAGCAGCCACCAGCCAUGCUCUGGAAAGUCAAGAGGGCUUCUGAGAGGAGGGUCUGUUAGAGCCGGGUUUACCAAUUGAGGGGAAGGUGGUAAGAGAAACUAGAGACGCAACACCGCUGCCCCGUAGAGAAAGGAGACUGUGUGUUCCCAGCACCCCAGGAACUUAAUGGGGCUAGAUGGUUUCCUCUGGAGAACUACAGGGAACUUUACUUCGGGAACAUGGUGACUUGUUUUUCAUAGGUUGACCCUAAUGACCAGUACAGCUAAUAUACAUGACUCUAGGGGCCCAUUGUUAAUUUUCACCUCCAACCCCAUGGGGGUGAUGGGCUCCAUUCAAAGGCUCCAGGCUGUGUAAAGAUCUACUUCCUUUUAGUGUCCAAAAAUACUUCCUCCAAUAGUCCCCAGCAGGGUCAUUUGUUCCUCUCUCUGUAGCUGCGGUGCUUUGACACUCCUACCUAACCCCCAUGCACCGCACAGAUAAAGAAUGGAUCUGAAAGACGCCAUUGAAAGCCUUCGCAGGAAGCCACGCCCACCUAACAGCCCCAGCCCACCCUCACUUACCUUCACCAAACACCCACAGGCUCCAUGUUGCUUCCUUGUUACCCCUGUUCUCUCUGAUGACCUCCCUUGACGUUAACGCUAUUCUUUUCUUUGUUUUCAAAAUAAAACCAGAAAAAUCAAUUUAUUAAUGUGCAGUGAGAACUCCACUUGCCAAGUGACUCAGGGCAGCCAGCGCUGAGAUGUUCUCCCCAGGCAGCCAUCAGGGAUCUGAAUCCGGGCUGCUGAUUAGAAGAACCUAGAAGCUGAAUGGCAUCAGUCCACAGUGUCCGUUCCCAUAGUAAUGUGCCUGAUUCUUGGACUGGUCCAGCUUGGGGGUCUGACUAGGCUUCUCCCAAGUCUGGAGUUGGCCCUACCAAGAUGAGACUGUAAUCACCUUCCUCUGCCACCCUAAGGACAAAGGAGUGUUAGGGAAGGAAAACAAGAUCUUGUCGGUAAAAUUAAAAAAUGGUUCUACAAGUAACUUCCUCAUGCCCAGAAUCCUUUGAGGUUGUGUCCUGAAAUACCAUGUGUUCUAUCAAAGCUGGUCUGGAAAUUGUAAAGAAGGGGCUUUUGCAGGUUUGACAUGUCUUCCUCCGGUGGGAGGAGCAGAAUGUACAGGUCUGUCCCAAGCUCCUGCCCCUUCCUCUGUCUUCGCUUCUUGGCUCUGCUUAGCCACCCCUGCCACUGUCCCUAGGUAACGUCAUCCACUCUGGUGGUACACAGGAGAGUGAGCAAGUCUGACUCCAGUGAAGGAGAGAGCGGGGAAGGUUGAGCAAAACCCUCUUAGACCACACAGCGGCGGAAAGUAGUUCAACAAGGCUGUCGAGGUACCUUAUGUCAAAGGUGGCCACCAGAGGAUCCUGUCCCCAAGGAGCAGGUGCCUUAGCAGCCUAGUCACACUCAGAGACUGCGAGCUGCCCAUGGGAAGCAUGGCCCCAGGACCACAGUGGUGAUGGGUUGGAGAACACAGUAGUUGGGC